UACAGAGGGAUGCUACCGGGCGACCGGAUGCGGAUCUCGAAAGCCUGUCCCAGUUCGGACUGGAGUCUGCAACCCGACUCCACGAAGUUGGAUUCGCUAGUAAUCGCGCAUCAGCCAUGGCGCGGUGAAUACGUUCCCAGGCCUUGUACACACCGCCCGUCAAGCCAUGGGAGCCGGGGGCGCCUGAAGUCCGGGACCGCGAGGACCGGCCUAGGGCGAAACUGGUAACUGGGGCUAAGUCGUAACAAGGUAGC
rnacentral:rRNA from 1 species